GCCUGGGUGGCUCAGUCGGAUGGGCAUCUGACUUUGGCUCAGGUCAUGAUCUCACCGUGUGUGGGUUCGAGCCCCACAUCGAGCU
rnacentral:tRNA from 1 species